CCGGGCCUAAGUUCCCUGGAA
rnacentral:snRNA from 1 species